GAUGAACGCUAGCGGCAGGCCUAACACAUGCCAGUCGAGGGAGAAGCCCUUUCGGGGGCCGAAACCGGCGCACGGGUGCGUAACGCGUAUGCAACCUACCUUUCACAGGGGGAUAGCCCGAAGAAAUUUGGAUUAAUACCCCAUAAUAUUAUUGGAUGGCAUCAUUUGAUAAUUAAAACUGCGGUGGUGAAAGAUGGGCAUGCGUCCUAUUAGCUAGUUGGAGUGGUAACGGCACCCCAAGGCUACGAUAGGUAGGGGUCCUGAGAGGGAGAUCCCCCACACUGGUACUGAGACAGGGACCAGACUCCUACGGGAGGCAGCAGUGAGGAAUAUUGGUCAAUGGUCGGAAGACUGAACCAGCCAUGCCGCGUGCAGGAAGAAUGCCUUAUGGGUGGUAAACUGCUUUUAGAUGGGAAGAAUAAGGCGUACGUGUACGUUGAUGACGGUACCAUAUGAAUAAGCAGCGGCUAACUCCGUG
rnacentral:rRNA from 1 species